CUCGUUAGUUGCUGUCACGCGGCACAAGAGAGCAAUCAUGUCUAUACACUCUUGUGCGUGCGACAGCGACUGAUACA
rnacentral:pre_miRNA from 1 species